UCUGUACUAUCAUGACCCUGGCCUGUUGAUUCUGAUUUUCUAUACCUGCAUUACUGUCAACGUGAUCGGUAUCACUCGUAUAGAUAAAAGGAUGACUCUGCUCUUCGGAAUCAUGUAGGACUGAUACUAAAAACAUCUUAUCCACCCACUACACAUAUCUUUCUUACCAUACCUUCAGCCUUAAUCGUGAUAUAAUUGCCUAUGAAACUCCAAGUUUGAACAAGAUUGGAAUCAAAGUACUCGUUUCUGGUUUAGAUACAUUGGAAAAUGUCCCAUCUCCAAGAGAGGGAGAGGGAGAUUAUGUAUGCCUUCCAAAUUCAUCUUAGCCAUAGUAUAUUUGAAUUUCUUCAGAAUUACCUUGAUGAAAGUGCAAAGACAAGGUCUUCAUUACAUUAAGGAAGCAACUUGAGAAAUGUCUUCAUCUUUUAUAAAGCCACAAGUUGAGUUGAGCAUCCAGGUCCAUGGAAUGAGAAGUUCCCAUCAGUAAAGAGCCAAUAUCUGCCCCUUUCAUCUCCCCCCUCUAAAAGGCUUGAAGUGGGUCCGGAUAAUAAGCCGAAAGUGGAAAAUUCUGUAGAAAGAACUUGGAAAAUGAUGGCCAGACGUUGGUAUCAACCGAUGGAGUUCGAUCUUGAUUAGAAGCUCCUCAGGCGCGCUCAAACACCUUUCGACAGAAUCUGUCUAAAAUAGAAUCUAAUCCCAUGAGUGAAUAGAACAGCAAAUAUACUUGUUCUAGAGCUGUUUUUGUCGUGAUCUAGAUUUUGAGGGUUGGAGUGUGCUGUUGUCAGCAGAUGAUGUCAUUGUUCGGAUAACAGCAACUGUUUUGAGUGGCCUAGUGGCCCUCCAAUAUUGUGGCCCUUCAAAUAUGAUUAGAAUCCAAAAGAAGAGGAAAGGAAGAGUGUUUUCUGAUAUCUAUAUAUAGGGGUUCUUGGUUCUUACCUUUGUAAUCAAAACACAUAACAGAUUUCAAGUGUUCUCCAAAGUUUGUGCGCUGUUGAAUUUCCAUGGCACGUCAAGCAGAUCUUAUUAAGAUUGGAAAGGAAGCCUUCGCUAUUUUGGAGGAGUACACCGGCCGGAAAAAGAAGAAGCUGCCUCCGCUGCCACCUCACCAGGAAGCUCAACAUCGACCCCCGAUUCCAUUUCUUAGGCAUGUGGUUCCCCCAACCGAAGAUCCCGUUAUUUGUCGCUACAGAGGAGCCCAAAGUUAUGAAGCAGUAGCUAUUACAGAAACAAAGCAUCACAACUUUGGUGUUUUGGGGAAACAGUAUGAAUUUUCUCCGUUGAGCUAAUAAAUGUUGGGAAGCAACAUGAAUCUGCUGGUCUUUCCCAAGUCUUGAAAAACAAAAAGAUGAAAGGGAAAAUAGCCAAAUAUUGAAGUGCUUUUUGUCUUCUAGCUGUUUUAUACUAGCAACAAAACGUUCCUGUGUACCACAUAGCUGUUCCGUAUGUCAAAAGAACAACUAUGUAGUGUACCUUUCUUUCUGGUCACCUUGUGUGUUCUUACUCUCUGUUGUGAAAAUAUUUGCGCUCCAUGUAUAAUAUUUGUGCCGUUUUGCAUGA